UGAGGACCCCUAAAGGCCAUUCGGUCGUGAGGUUCUCCUGGACCCCACUGCUCGAGCCUGCGUGGGUCUCUCUGAGGGAUAUCUCAUCCCUCAGGUGUAUCAGCCACACCACACAGCUGGAUGGCACCCACAGACUUGCUGAGUGUGCACUCGAACCCGCUGUUGAUAUCAUUGAUGAAGCUUACAGAGAACCGGAAGGAGAAGAGGAGCAGCAGAUGAACUACAGUAACCUCUAAUCCAUCCCUCGGUUACAGUGACUACACCUAAAAUGCAGCAAGAUCUAAUGGCAACAAAAGCUCAUCUUCCAGAGAACACAGCUCUCAGAUGCGUGUCAUUACAAACCAUCACAGUAGUGGUUCCACUGGAAACCAUUUUUGAACAACUGGAUCCUGCCCUUGCUUUUUGUUGUGCACAUGCAGAUGUCAUUGCUUCAGGUAAGCUCAUAGCAUCUCAUUCCAACACACAACCAACCUCAUGUGUUUUCUGUCAUUCAGACCUUCAAGGCUUUCUCAAUACCAAGACCUACCCCUGGGCUCUUCACUUCAACAAGAGAAUGAAGGAAGACUUAGAGCUCCUUCUGCAUGUUGCAAACCCAGGUCACACGCACCAGCAGGGAACAAUAACCUUGCAC